rnacentral:rRNA from 1 species
AGAGUUUGAUCAUGGCUCAGAACGAACGCUGGCGGCAGGCCUCAAACAUGCAAGUCUAGGGGGUGUAGCAAUACAUCACCGGCGGACGGGUGCGUAACGCGUGGGAAUAUACCUUUUGGUUCGGAACAACUGAGGGAAACUUCAGCUAAUACCGAAUGUGCCCUAACGGGGAAAGAUUUAUCGCCAAAGGAUUAGCCCGCGUAGGAUUAGCUAGUUGGUGAGGUAAUGGCUCACCAAGGCUCCGAUCCUUAGCUGUUCUGAGAGGAAGAUCAGCCACACUGGGACUGAGACACGGCCCAGACUCCUACGGGAGGCAGCAGUUGGGAAUCUUGGACAAUGGGGGAAACCCUGAUCCAGCCAUGCCGCGUGAGUGAUGAAGGCCUUCGGGUUGUAAAACUCUUUCGACGGGGACGAUAAUGACGGUACCCGUAGAAGAAGCUCCGGCUAACUUCGUGCCAGCAGCCGCGGUAAUACGAAGGGGGCUAGCGUUGUUCGGAAUUACUGGGCGUAAAGCGCGCGCAGGCGGCUAUNNNNNUCAGUGGUGAAAGCCCGGAGCUCAACUCCGGAACUGCCAUUGAAACUGUUUAGCUUGAGGACGAGAGAGGUGAGUGGAAUUCCCAGUGUAGAGGUGAAAUUCGUAGCUAUUGGGAAGAACACCGGUGGCGAAGGCGGCUCACUGGCUCGUUUCUGACGCUCAGCGCGACAGCGUGGGGAUCAAACAGGAUUAGAUACCCUAGUAGUCC